GGUGAUCUGCCCAACUCAUUGUUCCAACUUCAAAUCUAUUAGACAUCAUAAUAGGGGAUAGUGGUGGAAAUUUUGUGAUGUUAAAGACUGGGGACAUCUGUGUAGAAAUACCCUUCUGCUUGUUCAAAUGUUCACCUACACCAUCCCGAGGACUUUAUUAUUUUGCAUUGUCUGGUUGCCGGAUUUCCUGGCUACUCUGUACCCCAGGAGCUGGAGCCUUAACUCUCCAUUCUUGUGCCACUUUAGUCUUCAGUGAGGGGUUUGGGGGGGGGGCAGUUUUAGUCAAACAAUUGUGUCCUACCAUAAGACACUUCUCACAAUAUGAUGGUUUCCAAUCAUAUGACACAUCUUGCAUAAAACUCUUUCCAUUGGGAUCCAUCAGUUCAAUCUCACUUGG
rnacentral:lncRNA from 1 species